rnacentral:rRNA from 1 species
CCAGACUCCUACGGGAGGCAGCAGUGGGGAAUAUUGCACAAUGGGGGAAACCCUGAUGCAGCGACGCCGCGUGAGUGAAGAAGUAUUUCGGUAUGUAAAGCUCUAUCAGCAGGGAAGAAAAUGACGGUACCUGAUUAAGAAGCCCCGGCUAACUACGUGCCAGCAGCCGCGGUAAUACGUAGGGAGCAAGCGUUAUCCGGAUUUACUGGGUGUAAAGGGAGCGUAGACGGCCGUGCAAGUCUGAUGUGAAAACCCGGGGCUCAACCCCGGGACUGCAUUGGAAACUGCAUGGCUGGGGUGUCGGAGAGGCAAGUGGAAUUCCUAGUGUAGCGGUGAAAUGCGUAGAUAUUAGGAGGAACACCAGUGGCGAAGGCGGCUUGCUGGACGACGACUGACGUUGAGGCUCGAAAGCGUGGGGAGCAAACAGGAUUAGAUACCCCCGUAAC